CAUGUUUAAUUUGCCUUCCAUAUUUAUUAAGUAUUUGUUAAAGUUUUACUCGGUUAUAAAUGUUAUUUCACUUUGUAUUUUCGACAUGUGAUUUUGAUAUGUGUGCAUCACUCAUUAUGGAAAGAAGUUAUCCGAAAGCACCUGCAUUAUGCUAGACUUCAAUCUGGCCAUACAUAACCGUUCUAUGUUCGGGUGUAUAGAGAAAUAGUUUGAUCUGCAUGUCUUAACUGUUUUGUGUUAGGGUGGUAGCAGUGUGUUAAGAUACUCAUGUAUGUCGUUCUGUUUUCGGGUACAUGGAGAACCAGUGAUAAGUAUCUGUGCUUAUGCAUAAUGUAUGGUAACUGAUUGAUCCUCCAUAAUAGUGAUGAAAUAUACAACAUGCAUAAACAUUUUGAUUUAUACUUUCAGCUUCUGAUUCGUAUCUAUUUUUGAAAGAUUAUAUGAUAUAUGUUAUGUUGUGUGUAAAUAAACUAUAUAUUACAUGUACUAUGUUGUGAUUUUAUGAUAUUACUUAUUGGGAUAUUUUAUCUCUCCCCUCCUAUAACUCUCCAGAUACAGAAGAUACUGCUGUAGAGUGAGAGGUGAUACGGAGGAAAUCUCUGAAGUCUAGACUCUGAUAUUAAGGUUACUGUUUUGUAUUUUUGUUUAGUAAUGUAAGUAAGGAAAUCUAGAGUCUCGUACAUAUGUUUAUAUUUUAUAUUUUAGAGAUGUAAUGCUUCUAAGACUAUUUUAUUAUUAAUAAAGUUAAGUUAUUUUACUUAACUCGAGUCUAUAUGAUUUAAAGAAAUAUGCUCCGGUCAUUACCUUAUAAGACGGGAUGUAGUCUGUGAAGCGCAUGCACUUUACCAAUCAUCAUACUUUCAUGCAUCAUGCUCAAUAUUUACAUGGUUAAACAAUGAUCAAUCACCAUAGAAACUCUACGCAAUAACCAUCACGCUCAAUAAAACCAUGUUUCACAUAUACUCAGACAAACAUCAAUCCUUGUAGAAAUUCAUUCCUCACGAAAUUUUCAUUAAGCAUUACAAACACAUGAAUUCAUGCAUCAAGAUCAUAGAUAUCUCAAAUUGCCAUUCCAUCAUAUUUUCAAGAAUAUAAUUUCAUACAUUAAAAUAAAUCACCCAAAACAAGCAUGAAAAUUUAUUUCAACAAAUCUUCAAUUUUGCCAAAUUAAUUAACUAAAAAGAGUACUUAAAAAUAUAGAUAAAAAUACUAAGAAUUGCAUAUCAAAACCGAGUCGAUUAGUCUUUUGGAAAGGGAGAAAAAAACUUCUAGCACUCCUUGGUCAAGCUCCUCAAAUUCUUACUUUUUUUUCCUUAUUUCUUGUUUCUUUUUUCUCUAAAAUUUCCUCUUUCUCACUCUAAAAUCUCUCUAGAAAGUGGAAAUGGAAG
rnacentral:lncRNA from 1 species